rnacentral:rRNA from 1 species
UACGAAGGGGCUAGCGUUGCUCGGAAUCACUGGGCGUAAAGCGCACGUAGGCGGAUUGUUAAGUCAGGUGUGAAAGCCUUGAGCUCAACUCAAGAAAUGCACUUGAUACUGGAUGACUAGAGGACCGGAGAGGAUAGUGGAAUUCCCAGUGUAGUGGUGAAAUACGUAGAGAUUGGGAAGAACACCAGUGGCGAAGGCGGCUAUCUGGACGGUUUCUGACGCUAAGACGCGAAAGCGUGGGGAGCAAACAGG